UACGUAGGGCGCAAGCGUUGUCCGGAAUUAUUGGGCGUAAAGAGCUCGUAGGCGGUUUGUCGCGUCUGCUGUGAAAGCCCGGGGCUCAACCCCGGGUCUGCAGUGGGUACGGGCAGACUAGAGUGCAGUAGGGGAGACUGGAAUUCCUGGUGUAGCGGUGAAAUGCGCAGAUAUCAGGAGGAACACCGAUGGCGAAGGCAGGUCUCUGGGCUGUAACUGACGCUGAGGAGCGAAAGCGUGGGGAGCAAACAGG
rnacentral:rRNA from 1 species